rnacentral:rRNA from 1 species
CUACGGUGGCAGCAGUGGGGAAUAUUGGACAAUGGGCGAAAGCCUGAUCCAGCCAUGCCGCGUGUGUGAAGAAGGCCUUCGGGUUGUAAAGCACUUUCAGUGGGGAAGAAAGCCUUGGGGCUAAUACCCUCGAGGAAGGACAUCACCCACAGAAGAAGCACCGGCUAACUCCGUGCCAGCAGCCGCGGUAAUACGGAGGGUGCGAGCGUUAAUCGGAAUUACUGGGCGUAAAGCGCGCGUAGGCGGUCUGAUAAGCCGGUUGUGAAAGCCCCGGGCUCAACCUGGGAACGGCAUCCGGAACUGUCAGGCUAGAGUGCAGGAGAGGAAGGUAGAAUUCCCGGUGUAGCGGUGAAAUGCGUAGAGAUCGGGAGGAAUACCAGUGGCGAAGGCGGCCUUCUGGACUGACACUGACGCUGAGGUGCGAAAGCGUGGGUAGCAAACAGGAUUAGAUACCCUAGUAGUC